rnacentral:rRNA from 1 species
UACGGGGGGGGCAAGCGUUGUUCGGAAUUACUGGGCGUAAAGGGCUCGUAGGCGGCCAACUAAGUCGGACGUGAAAUCCCUCAGCUUAACUGGGGAACUGCGUCUGAUACUGGAUGGCUUGGAUUCGGGAGAGGGAUGCGGAAUUCCAGGUGUAGCGGUGAAAUGCGUAGAUAUCAGGAGGAACACCGGUGGCGAAGGCGGUUCUCUGGGCAUGUCCUGACGCUGAGGAGCGAAAGUGUGGGGAGCGAACAGG